UUACCGUGUCCGCCGAGUUGAAACGAUUCUCAGGGACGGAGCCGCAAAGGAGGAGGGCAAGACUCCCGCAUCAUCUCGCCCGCUCUUUCGCUCACCAGCACCGCGGUAUAACGAGAGCAUCUGCGUUUUAACCGUGUAACAAUUUUAUCAUGUGUCGAUUCGCUGUUUUGUGAACAGUGCGCGUUUGUUGGAUGCGGGCGCGGGGAUAAGCAGAAGACGAUGAUUUUGUCGGGUCUCCUCUUCCCCGCGUUAUGGGGACUGACGCUCGGCGGAUCUCCAAGCGUCCAAAUCGGUGGCCUGUUCCCCAGAGGAGCAGAUCAAGAGUACAGCGCGUUUCGGAUCGGAAUGGUUCAGUUCGGCACGAGCGAAUUCCGCCUCACUCCUCACAUUGAUAACCUGGAGGUGGCUAACAGCUUCGCCAUUACAAAUUGCUUUUGCUCACAGUUUUCUAGAGGAGUGUAUGCCAUCUUUGGCUUCUACGAUAAGAAGUCAGUGAACACCAUCACGUCGUUCUGCGAGACGCUGCACGUGUCCUUCAUCACGCCCAGUUUUCCAGCUGAUGGACUUAACCAGUUUGUUCUGCAGAUGAGGCCUGAUAUCAAAGGGCCUCUCAUCAGUCUGGUGGAGUAUUACAAGUGGGAGAAGUUUGCCUAUCUGUAUGACAGCGACAGAGGUCUGUCUACCCUCCAGGCCGUCUUGGACACAGCGGCAGAGAGGAAAUGGCAGGUAACAGCCAUAAACGUCGGAAACCUGAAGGAUGAGUGGAAGGAUGAGGCAUAUCGCUCCCUCUUUCAGGACCUGGAGAACAAGAAAGAGAGGAGAGUCAUUUUAGACUGUGAACAGGACAAAGUCAAGGACAUUAUGGAGCAGGUGAUUACGAUCGGUCGACAUGUGAAAGGAUAUCAUUACAUCAUUGCGAAUUUUGGCUUUGUGGAUGGAGAUUUGUCCAAGAUUCAGUAUGGAGGAGCGAAUGUAUCUGGAUUUCAGAUAGUGGACUUUGAUGACCCACUUGUAGCUAAAUUUGACCAGCGCUGGGAGGCACUGGAGGAGAAGGAGUACCCUGGAGCAGACAGCAGAAUCAGGUACACUUCUGCUCUCACAUACGAUGCUGUGCAAGUAAUGACCGAGGCAUUCCGCUUUCUUCAUAAACAAAGGAUUGAUAUCAGUCGCCGUGGCAACAACGGAGACUGCCUGGCCAAUCCUGCGGUCCCGUGGGCUCAGGGGAUGGAGAUAGAGCGUGCUCUCAAACAGGUGCGUGUGGAUGGAUUGACAGGAAAUAUUCAAUUCGAUCAGUAUGGCAGACGAGUGAAUUACACAGUCAAUGUCAUGGAGCUGAAAAACAGUGGCCCUGUGAAGAUUGGUUACUGGAAUGAGAUGGACAAAAUGGCUGUGACAAAAUCUGACCUUUUCCCCAAUGAUACCAUGGGAAUGGAGAAUAAAACAGUCGUUGUGACAACAAUCCUGGAGGCACCGUAUGUAAUGCUGAAAAAGAAUUCAGAGUUAUUCACCGAUAAUGAAAGAUAUGAGGGAUACUGUGUGGACCUGGCCGCCGAGAUUGCAAAGCAUUGUGGGUUUAAGUAUCAGCUGAGGAUUGUGGCAGACGGAAAAUACGGCGCACGAGAUGCUGAGACCAAAAUCUGGAAUGGAAUGGUUGGAGAACUGGUUUAUGGGAAAGCAGACAUAGCUGUAGCUCCUCUUACCAUCACUCUGGUUAGAGAGGAGGUGAUAGACUUCUCGAAACCUUUCAUGAGUCUGGGCAUAUCCAUUAUGAUCAAGAAACCACAGAAAUCCAAGCCUGGUGUCUUCUCUUUCCUGGACCCGUUGGCCUACGAGAUCUGGAUGUGCAUUGUAUUCGCCUACAUCGGAGUUAGCGUCGUGCUCUUCCUUGUUAGCCGCUUCAGCCCUUACGAGUGGCACACUGAGGAGUUUGAGGAUGGGCAGCUGGGCCCUAGCGAAUCUACAAACGAAUUUGGAAUCUUUAAUAGUCUGUGGUUUUCUCUGGGCGCUUUUAUGCAGCAGGGAUGCGAUAUUUCACCAAGGUCGUUGUCUGGCCGUAUAGUUGGUGGUGUGUGGUGGUUUUUCACCCUCAUCAUCAUCUCCUCCUACACGGCUAACUUGGCUGCCUUUCUCACUGUGGAGAGGAUGGUGUCACCUAUCGAGAGUGCUGAAGACCUGGCCAAACAGACUGAGAUUGCAUAUGGGACAUUGGAUGCAGGCUCCACCAAAGAGUUCUUUAGGAGAUCUAAGAUUGCUCUCUUUGACAAGAUGUGGCAGUACAUGAAGAGUGCAGAGCCAUCUGUGUUUGUUAAAAACACGGUGGAAGGCGUUUUGCGUGUCCGAAAAUCCAAAGGCAAAUAUGCUUACCUUCUGGAGUCCACCAUGAACGAAUACAUCGAGCAACGCAAGCCCUGUGACACCAUGAAGGUCGGAGGGAACCUUGACUCUAAAGGCUACGGCAUCGCUACACCCAAGGGAUCUGCUUUAAGGUGGGUGGAGUAGUAUAACAAUAUGGCCCAUGUUGUUAUAGUAUCCCACCUACCCUGAUGUAGGCCGGGGGUCCCCUUUUUUAAUGAGGUAAACUAGGUAAUAGCAGUGCUGAGUAUAGCGAGGGACAGUACCAUAGGCAAAAACAGCGAUAACAGACAACUGCAGCGAAAGUGAGGGCUUUAAAAAGCCCAGCUGACAUCUCUGCCGAUGAUGGCGUAGAAAAUUGAGUAAAAUGUAGUCUCAGACAAAUAGGUAAUUAUCUUAACACAAGCUUAAUAACAAGUUCAGUUCUAAGUUUUUAAUAGGAAGUAAGAGAGCGCCAUAAAAUGCACAACGAAUUAAGAUUAUAUAAAAAUUAUUAGGGCUGUCAGAUUAAAAUAUUUGAAUGAGGAUAAUUUCAUAAUCACGUUAAUGCAUUCAGUUCCUUUUAAGUAGUUGUAGUAUUGAGUUUGAGAAUGCGUUGCUAUAUGUGCAUCUGCAAUAAUUAAGCAAUAUAACCGUUUUCACAUACUUUAUGGACUUAAUAUUAAAUUUGAAAAAUAUCGGUAAAACCGAUUAUCGGUGAAUCUCUAAAAAGAAUAGAGAAUGAAGAUUAAUUUGAAAAGCUCUCUCCCUGUCAAUAAUUUUGUUGGUUCAGGUUUGCCGAUAGGUGAAAACUGUUGUUAAAGGCACUAGACAAUUUAAUUAAUUGCUUGUUAUUGUUCCAAUUUUGACAGCCCUAAACAUAAUUGCAAGAAUUAACUGGUUUACUCUUGAAGUUUUCAAAUCCUUUUUUUCACCUGUUUUGCUGAAAAUCAACUGCCAUGUGUUCAAUGAAGCAAACAUCAGCAAACAUUAAAUUACUUCUGCUCACAAAUAGCUUUCUCCCCGCUUUAAGCAAAGCAUAGUGUAGUAAUGAAAAACUGAAGCUAUACACUUACAACCAAAAUUCUAAAAUGCUUGUUUCGCGGUUAGUAUGACCCAUUUUUGCUCAUGUUUGCCACUAGUAUCUGCUUUAUUGAAUGCAUGUCUGUUUUUAAUGACUGAAGCAAUGGCCUUUUGCAACCAGACUGUGUUAUGACAAAAGCUAUUUAUUGAUAAUGAGUAAUAAUCAAUGCAUGUGAUUGGGCACUUGGAUUUUGAAUGAUUCAUAGACUGAAAACACAAUAACUUGAUUAUGAAUGCAUUUGAUGAUGCACUGUUUGAAGUAUGCAUGCUGUCACUCUUGAUACUUCUAACCAGAUUUGUUUGCCUCUUAGAGUGUUUUCUGCUAACUGAUUUGAGGAUAUGUAUGUGCGAUUAUGUAAUAACUGAUACUAUUGCUGAUCCUCCUCUGUUCUAGCCUCCUGCCUAAAGAGUUUGAGUUUAAAAAGAACUCUUAAAGCUCGACCACCUUAUAUUAUAAUGGGCUGUUUAACGUCAUUUUGAUUGGUUGGUUGAUUUGAUUGAUUGUCUAACCCAAUGUUCCAUUCAUUCUAUGCAACUUGUGGGGGCGUGGCCCAUUGCAGCCCCGCCCCCCCAUGCUUUCUGACAAGUAUGUUUUAUCGUUUGUUUAAGAAAUGCGGUAAACCUUGCAGUGCUAAAACUGAACGAGCAGGGGCUUCUGGAUAAAUUGAAAAACAAAUGGUGGUACGACAAAGGAGAGUGCGGCAGCGGAGGCGGGGAGUCAAAGGAGAAGACUAGCGCCCUCAGCCUGAGUAAUGUUG